GGAAGGGUUGUAUUAUUAGAUAAAGAACCAAUAUUUUUGGUGACUCAUAAUAACUUUACGGAUCACAUUAUGUGACAUAUCAUUCAAGUUUCUGACCUAUCAGCUUUAGACGGUAGGGUAUUGGCCUACCGUGGCUAUGACGGGUAACGGGGAAUUAGGGUUCGAUUCCGGAGAGGGAGCCUGAGAAACGGCUACCACAUCUAAGGAAGGCAGCAGGCGCGCAAAUUACCCAAUCCUAAUACAGGGAGGUAGUGACAAGAAAUAACAAUACAGGACCUUACGGUUUUGUAAUUGGAAUGAGUUAAGUAUAAACCCCUUAACAAGUAUCAAUUGGAGGGCAAGUCUGGUGCCAGCAGCCGCGGUAAUUCCAGCUCCAAUAGCGUAUAUUAAAGUUGUUGCAGUUAAAAAGCUCGUAGUUAAUUUUCUGUUAAUUUUUAUAUACAAUACUACGGUAUUUAUAUAAUAUUAACAUAAUUCAUAUUACUUUUUAGUAUAUGAAACUUUACUUUGAGAAAAUUAGAGUGCUUAAAGCAGGCUAUUGCCUUGAAUACUCCAGCAUGGAAUAAUAUUAAGGAUUUUUAUUCUUCUUAUUGGUUCUAGAAUAAAAAUAAUGAUUAAUAGGGACAGUUGGGGGCAUUUGUAUUUAACAGUCAGAGGUGAAAUUCUUAGAUUUGUUAAAGACAAACUACUGCGAAAGCAUUUGCCAAGGAUGUUUUCAUUAAUCAAGAACGAAAGUUAGGGGAUCGAAGACGAUCAGAUACCGUCGUAGUCUUAACCAUAAACUAUGCCAACUAGAGAUUGGAGGUUGUUCCUUACUCCUU
rnacentral:rRNA from 1 species